GACGAACGCUGGCGGCGUGCUUAACACAUGCAAGUCGAGCGGAAAGGCCCCUUCGGGGGUACUCGAGCGGCGAACGGGUGAGUAACACGUGAGUAAUCUGCCCUUCACUUUGGGAUAACCCCCGGAAACGGGAGCUAAUACCGGAUACGACCAUUCCAGGCAUCUGGUGGUGGUGGAAACUUUUUUGGGUGAGGGAUGUGCUCGCGGCCUAUCAGCUUGUUGGUGGGGUAAUGGCCUACCAAGGCUUUGACGGGUAGCCGGCCUGAGAGGGUGGCCGGCCACACUGGGACUGAGACACGGCCCAGACUCCUACGGGAGGCAGCAGUGGGGAAUAUUGGACAAUGGGCGGAAGCCUGAUCCAGCAACGCCGCGUGAGGGAUGACGGCCUUCGGGUUGUAAACCUCUUUCAGCACCGACGAAGCGUGAGUGACGGUAGGUGCAGAAGAAGGACCGGCCAACUACGUGCCAGCAGCCGCCGUAACAC
rnacentral:rRNA from 1 species